UACGAAGGGGGCUAGCGUUGCUCGGAAUUACUGGGCGUAAAGCGCACGUAGGCGGCUUUCUAAGUCGGGGGUGAAAUCCUGGAGCUCAACUCCAGAACUGCCUUCGAUACUGGAGAGCUCGAGUGCGGGAGAGGUGAGUGGAAUUCCUGGUGUAGCGGUGAAAUGUGUAGAUAUCAGGAGGAACACCGGUGGUGUAGACGGCUCACUGGACCGUAACUGACGCUGAGGUGCGAAAGCGUGGGGAGCAAACAGG
rnacentral:rRNA from 1 species